rnacentral:lncRNA from 13 species
UGUCACCUCCAGUUUCCAUUUUAAAUUGUAAAAUUUCCAAAUUUGGAGACAAGCAGAUAUUUUUCUCAUCUUGAAAAGGAGGAGCGAGCGUUAGCUAGCUGAUUAGCCGUAGGUGGGAAACGAACCAUCUCUAAUAAAAACAGUAACUUUUAGAGAAACUCUGGGGAAGUUCUGUAGUCCCACCCUGCCCCGUGACCUUUCAUUCUCUUAGUUCUUCUGCCACAGAGAAGCACCGAUCGACUAAUAAAAGAUUUGAUCUUGCUAUAAUUUCCCAAGCAGUUUCUGUGUCUGCUUUCUGAUUCAUUAUCAUGAAGGACAUCAUUAAUAACCAUCCUCAGGAGAGGACCAUGAGAGAGUUUAGUAAACACAUAAACCCCACAAAGAUGACAACACAACAUAAAAAGAUGAUAGAUUAGAGGUUUUACCAUUACUCAGCCACUUGGAAAUAGACAGAUAAUGCAUAAAGGUCAACUCAGUGAGUGUUAAUUCAAGAAGGAAAACAGAAAUCUACUGAAGUCAUGAAAAG